rnacentral:rRNA from 1 species
ACUUAAAUUGAAGAGUUUGAUCAUGGCUCAGAUUGAACGCUGGCGGCAGGCCUAACACAUGCAAGUCGAGCGGUAGCACAGAGAGCUUGCUCUCGGGUGACGAGCGGCGGACGGGUGAGUAAUGUCUGGGAAACUGCCUGAUGGAGGGGGAUAACUACUGGAAACGGUAGCUAAUACCGCAUAACGUCGCAAGACCAAAGUGGGGGACCUUCGGGCCUCAUGCCAUCAGAUGUGCCCAGAUGGGAUUAGCUAGUAGGUGGGGUAACGGCUCACCUA